UACGGGGGGAGCAAGCGUUGUUCGGAUUCAUUGGGCGUAAAGGGUGUGUAGGUGGCGCGCUAAGUCGGGUGUGAAAUUUCGGAGCUUAACUCCGAAACUGCAUUCGAUACUGGCGUGCUUGAGGACUGGAGAGGAGACUGGAAUUUACGGUGUAGCAGUGAAAUGCGUAGAUAUCGUAAGGAAGACCAGUGGCGAAGGCGGGUCUCUGGACAGUUCCUGACACUGAGACACGAAGGCCAGGGGAGCAAACGGG
rnacentral:rRNA from 1 species